AGUCCGCAGCAACGGAGCGUCCCGGUUCGGCCGCGAGUCGCGACAACUGGCGACAGCGAACGGAGAUGCGUGUCGACGCUCUCUGGGUGGACGUCGAGCUCGUCGUCUCGGAACUCCAGAAGAGUGGAGCCUAGCCGAAGUGACAGAAGCGUGAAGAGCAGCAGACGGUUGUUCGUCCUUUGAGGUUACGGCGGCCGGCCGCCAUGUUGGAGUAACGUCAGAGCGCGCGAGGCCUCGCUCCGUCUCUCUCGCUCUCCCGGCCCGUCGCGGCGAGUGACUCGGUUGCCGAUCAUGUUUCGAAGAUAGAGGCGAAGUGGCCGCCUGCGUGUCCGUCGAGCCAGCGCGACGUCGAGGCGACGCAUCGGAAUUAAAGCCGGGACGAAGCCACCUUGCCAGAUGACGUCGAGGAAGGGAUGCCCCAGAAGAGCGGUCUUCCCUUAAAGCCCCUGCUUCAGAACCUUGCCGGAUCGGGACUGAAGGGAUUGCGGCGAAAGGGGGAUAUGGAGUCCUUCGCGGAGCCCUGAGCGGGUGAGUCCUUCCCUCCCCUCUCACUAAGG